AUACCAAUUUGCCCUCACCGACCUCUCCUCGAUCAACGUGCGAUCUCCGCAGAUCCGUCCGUCGGAUUUGCGAACGGAUCGCACCAGUGCGAUCAGCACCUCGGAGACAACAAAGCUACGAUUUCGUUUCACCUCAAACGGUCGCGGAUUUGCGACGAAAUCCGCUCUCUCUCUAAAAGGCCAAAUAUCACGCACAAUUACAUACAAAACACGUAUUAUUGGAUUUUCUCGAAAUCCGUGCGUCAAACUCAAAAUCCGUCAGCGCCAGUAGUUCAAGAACAGCUGAACCGGUCGAAACGAGCUAUUGGACUGCUAUGAACGGAGUCCGAUACGCACCAGAAGCCAACUCUACUCCGUGGCUUCUCCGGAAAACCGGAGUUACUAUUCACUUAGCUCAUUUUCUCCUGAAAAUCCAGUAUCUUCUCCGAAAAUCCAGUAUCUUCUCCAUUUUAGCUCAUUUUCUCCUGAAACUUGACGAGU
rnacentral:lncRNA from 1 species